rnacentral:rRNA from 1 species
UACGUAGGGUGCAAGCGUUGUCCGGAAUUAUUGGGCGUAAAGAGCUCGUAGGCGGUUUGUCGCGUCUGCUGUGAAAACUCGGGGCUUAACCCCGGGCCUGCAGUGGGUACGGGCAGACUAGAGUGCGGUAGGGGAGACUGGAAUUCCUGGUGUAGCGGUGAAAUGCGUAGAUAUCUGGAGGAACACCGGUGGCGAAGGCGGCAUCCUGGACCAACACUGACGCUGAGGAGCGAAAGCCAGGGGAGCAAACGGG